ensembl:lncRNA
AUGGGGGGCUAUGGGGAUAUGGGUAAUAUGGGGUGAAGUAUAGGGCUAUGAGAGGCUAUGAGUAUAUGGGGUAUAUGGGGGCUAUGGGGGGCUAUAAGGACAUGGGGGGCUAUGGGGGGGAUAUGGGGCUAUGAGGUGCUAUGGGGACAUGGGUGAUAUGGAGUAUAUGGGGGGCUAUGGGGACAUGGGUGAUACGGGGGUAUAUGGGGGGCCAUGGGGGGCUAUGGAGCCAUGGGGGGCUAUGAGGACAUGGGGUAUAUGGGGGGCUAUGUGGGUCUAUGGAGAUAUGGGGAGCUAUGGGGUCUAUGGGGCCAUCGCUGCUAUAUGUGUCUAUAUGGGUCUAUAUGUGUCUAUAUGGGUCUAUAUGUGUCUAUAUGGGUCUGUCUAUAUGUGUCUAUAUGUGUCUAUAUGUGUGUGUUGCAGUUCCCCGCCCCGCCGCCGGGUGUCGCUGUUCGUACCGUGAUGCUCCACGUGCAGUUGCUGUGGGGCGGGUAAUGGCGCGGGAACCCCUCGCUGCCGAUAUAACCCGAGUCCCCGCCGUGCUCCCCCCCACACAGAAACACCGGCCUGGAGGCGUUGGGGGGGGCGGCAGCGGCGGGGCGGAGCGCGGGAAACAAGAGGAGGAGGAGCGCGGGAAACGGAGCGGGGCGCGCCAUGGCGGGAAACCGAGUGGCGCCGGCGGGAGAGCGGGAAAAGGAGGCGGGGUUUUAAGCCACGCCCAUAAUGGCUGCUCAGCCAAUCAGGGGCGAGACACGAGGAAACAGGGAAGGAAAGGGGCGGGGCGAGCAGAGGGACACGCCCACCUGGGGGUGAAACGGACCAAUGAGCGGCGAGCCACGAGGAGGGGGCGGGGCUUAAAGGUGGGCGCCGGCCAAUGGAGAGGAGCCAGCUGCCAUGCUGGACGAAGGGGCGGGGCUUAGGCGCAGCCCGUCCCUCUCGCUUAUACCGGCCAACCAGGAGUGGGGAUUAACGAGGGGGCGGGGCUAGAGGGGGGCGCUGGCCAAUGAGUGAAGCGCCAGCUGCCAGGCUGGACGGGGAGGCGGAGCUUACAAUAGCCCCGCCUCCCCCUCGAUGCCAGCCAAUCACGAAGCGGAAAGCGGGUUGGGGGUGGGUCCAAGCGAUGAGCGCCAACCAAUGAGCGCAGAGGAGGGCGGGGCUUCAGCUGCCAGGCUGGACUGCCGUGAAGGGGGCGGGGCUUAUUUGUAUAUCCCGCCCCUUCAGCUCAAACCGACCAAUCCGGAGCGGGGGGCGGGGCCAGCGUGUGUGCGCCAACCAAUGGGACGCCGGGAUGGGGGUGAGGGGGCGAA